rnacentral:rRNA from 1 species
UACGUAGGGUGCAAGUGUUGUCCGGAAUUAUUGGGCGUAAAGAGCUCGUAGGUGGUUUGUCGCGUUGUUCGUGAAAUCUCACGGCUUAACUGUGAGCGUGCGGGCGAUACGGGCAGACUAGAGUACUGCAGGGGAGACUGGAAUUCCUGGUGUAGCGGUGGAAUGCGCAGAUAUCAGGAGGAACACCGGUGGCGAAGGCGGGUCUCUGGGCAGUAACUGACGCUGGAGGAGCGAAAGCGUGGGGAGCGAACAGG